rnacentral:rRNA from 1 species
UACGGAGGGGACUAGCGUUGUUCGGAAUUACUGGGCGUAAAGCGCACGUAGGCGGAUUUGUAAGUCAGGGGUGAAAUCCUGGAGCUCAACUCCAGAACUGCCUUCGAUACUGGAGAGCUUGAGUCCGGGAGAGGUGAGUGGAACUGCGAGUGUAGAGGUGAAAUUCGUAGAUAUUCGCAAGAACACCAGUGGCGAAGGCGGCUCACUGGCCCGGUACUGACGCUGAGGUGCGAAAGCGUGGGGAGCAAACAGG